AUUAAUUGCAGUUUUGAGUUUAUCUUUAAUUCAACAGAAAAGCAAACAGGAGGACCUCCCUGAAAUAGAAGAAAUCCUUAAUCAGGUAUAUCUGGGAGUAUGGGCAUCUGAAGUUCCAGCAGUGCAGAUAAAGGAACAGCCUGCUUGGAUACAUUACUCAAUAAUCAAGAAGGAGCCAGAACCAGAAACACAUCAGAACUGAGAAAAA